CUUAAAACCCAAUGAUGUUUUUAUGCAAAAUGUCUGAACCUGUCUGAAGCAUCCAGCGAUGAUCCUCUAUGUGGUGCUGAAGCUUUUCUGCCA